AGGGGAGAAUAACGCAUAGAACUUCUGCCAGGGACCGGGAUAACAACUAUUGGAAACGUGGCCUAAUACCAUACUAUAGUAUGUGCUCCUGGAUGUUUCCUUAAAAGGGAUGCUUGCCUCACUAUUUGAUGGAUAUGAGUUGGAUUAUAUAGUGAGGGAUUAACCGGGUCACCAUAGGUACCAUGCCUGACCGACCGGACAGGCUGAUCGGGACUGAUGUAACUGACUUACUCCCCAGACUCCUACCGGAGGGGGAUAUUGGAAAUCGUCGGCAAUGCUGAUACAUCUGAUCUGUGUGCACCACGAGAGUUUUCAAAUCUUUCGGAUCUUUCAGCUCUGAUGAAAGAAAAGAACGAACGUGAAAAUGAAAAGUUCACUAUGUGACUGCCUCUUACCACAAAGGUACGGAUGUCUACAUGCCUACCCCCACUUAUUGACGUAGGUCCCCAUCGUUGUCCGCAUUUAUUGCCCGUAUGAAGAGCGCUGGCUCAUACAUAAGUCUGACUUGAAAGGCUGUGGCUUAACCAUAUUACGCUUUGGACACUGUUUAACUUGAGUGCGUGAAAUUAGAGUGUAUGUCCAUGUGUGCCGAUGAUAUGCAUAGAUAUAUGGACGAACACCUGACGCUGAAAGCGGCUCUCUGGCUUAGCACUGACGCUGAGGCUCCCUGGCAUGCCUAGCUGAAAGGAAUAAAUACCGU
rnacentral:rRNA from 1 species